AGUCAUGAAAAAAAAAUAUGUUAACAAUGUAGUCACUUACUGCACCUCGCCAUGACUACUACUGGGUACGUCCCCCAGUUUUCCCUUGGGGGACGUUGGUUCUCCGCCAUGGAUCUCACUUCUGA
rnacentral:lncRNA from 1 species